rnacentral:misc_RNA from 1 species
AUUGCCCCAUUAGCAACAGGUUUUGAAGAGGUUUUAAGAUCAAAAGUUUCACCAUUUUCCUUUUCUUCCACAUACUCUUCCAUUUUUCCUGCAUUUUCCAUCAGCUUUUGGAACAGCAUGCCAUUGUUGGAGAGCUCCUCAAAGGUUCCCUCCUCUUUCACCAUACCCUCAUGGACCAGCAUAAUUCUAUCAACUUGAGAAAGAAAAUGGAGCUGGUUUGUGACAAGAACUCUCGUUUUCGCACUCAAUUCUCCCUUGAUACAUUUAUCAAAAACCUGUCGAGCUACAUGAGCAUCGAGAGCACUUAAGGGAUCAUCAAAAAUGUAUACAUCUGAAUUGGAAUACACAGC